rnacentral:rRNA from 1 species
AGUGCUCAAAGCAGGCAUAUGCUCGUAUGUUAAAGCAUGGAACGAAUAUAUUGACCGUGUCAAUUGUUGGUUGUUGACGUGGUCUCGAUUAAAAGGAACAUUUGAGGGCGUUGGUACUUGGUGGCGAGAGGUGAAAUUCUUAGACCCACCAAAGACUCACAAAUGCGAAAGCAUUCGCCAAGAGUGUUUUCAUUAAUCAAGAACGAAAGUCAGAGGUUCGAAGACGAUCAGAUACCGUCGUAGUUCUGACAGUAAACUAUGCCAACAUGGGAUCAGUCCAGUGCUAUCUCGAUUGGUCCCUCUAUGAAAAUAAGUUUUUCGGUUCUGGGGGGAGUCCUCACGCAAGUGAUAAACUUAAAGAAAUUGACGGAAUGGCACCACCAGGAGUGGAGCCUGCGGCUUAAUUUGACUCAACACGGGGAAACUCACCAGGUCCAGACAUUGACAGGAUUGACAGACUAAGAGAUCUUUCAUGAUACGAUGAUUGGUGGUGCAUGGCCGUUCUUAGUUGGUGGAGUGAUCUGUCAGGUUUAUUCCGGUAACGAACGAGACCACAUUCUUUAAUUGAUUACGGUCAUUUUGUUUUGGCCAAUCUUAAAGAGACAACCGGGAUCAACCCGGGGGAAGCGUGGCAAUAACAGGUCUGUGAUGCCCUUCGAUGUUCUGGGCUGCACGCGCGCUACAAUGGCAGUGACAACGAGUGCCUGCUCUGAGAGGAGUGGGUAAUCUUGAAAAUCGCUGUCGUGAUUGGGAUUGAGCCUUGUAAUAAUUGCUCAUGAAAGAGGAAUUCCUCGUAAGCGCGAGUCAUCAGCUCGUGUUGAAUACGUCUCUGCCCUUUGUACACACCGCCCGUCGCUACUACCGACUGAGCUGUAUUCCGAAAAACUAGGACUAAAGCUCCUUUUUGGGGCUUUGGGAGCAGG